CUGCGAGGCUACCAUGCAAGUCGAGCGGAAACGAGUUAUCUGAACCUUCGGGGAACGAUAACGGCGUCGAGCGGCGGACGGGUGAGUAAUGCCUAGGAAAUUGCCCUGAUGUGGGGGAUAACCAUUGGAAACGAUGGCUAAUACCGCAUGAUGCCUACGGGCCAAAGAGGGGGACCUUCGGGCCUCUCGCGUCAGGAUAUGCCUAGGUGGGAUUAGCUAGUUGGUGAGGUAAGGGCUCACCAAGGCGACGAUCCCUAGCUGGUCUGAGAGGAUGAUCAGCCACACUGGAACUGAGACACGGUCCAGACUCCUACGGGAGGCAGCAGUGGGGAAUAUUGCACAAUGGGCGCAAGCCUGAUGCAGCCAUGCCGCGUGUGUGAAGAAGGCCUUCGGGUUGUAAAGCACUUUCAGUCGUGAGGAAGGUAGUGUAGUUAAUAGCUGCAUUAUUUGACGUUAGCGACAGAAGAAGCACCGGCUAACUCCGUGCCAGCAGCCGCGGUAAUACGGAGGGUGCGAGCGUUAAUCGGAAUUACUGGGCGUAAAGCGCAUGCAGGUGGUUUGUUAAGUCAGAUGUGAAAGCCCGGGGCUCAACCUCGGAAUAGCAUUUGAAACUGGCAGACUAGAGUACUGUAGAGGGGGGUAGAAUUUCAGGUGUAGCGGUGAAAUGCGUAGAGAUCUGAAGGAAUACCGGUGGCGAAGGCGGCCCCCUGGACAGAUACUGACACUCAGAUGCGAAAGCGUGGGGAGCAAACAGGAUUAGAUACCCUGGUAGUCCACGCCGUAAACGAUGUCUACUUGGAGGUUGUGGCCUUGAGCCGUGGCUUUCGGAGCUAACGCGUUAAGUAGACCGCCUGGGGAGUACGGUCGCAAGAUUAAAACUCAAAUGAAUUGACGGGGGCCCGCACAAGCGGUGGAGCAUGUGGUUAAUUCGAUGCACGCGAAGACCUUACUACUCUUGACUCCAGAGACUUUCCAGAGAUGGAUUGGUGCUUCGGGACUCUGAGACGGUGCUGCUGGCUGUCGUCAGUCGUGUUGGGAAUGGUGGUUAAGUC
rnacentral:rRNA from 1 species